rnacentral:lncRNA from 1 species
AUAUAUACUAUAGGGUUAAUUCAUACCAGAAUAUGCUUCAAAAACUCUGGAUUGCACAAACUGUCCAGUGAGGAAAAAUAAUCAUGCACAUACAAUUUUUUUAUGCAGUAAUAAAAGUAUAUUUUAUAUACAAUGUAACCAAGGUUUUUUUUUUUUUUUUUUUUUUUGGUAAGCUGUUUUAUAUUUGGGGAGCGUGACCAACACCUACUUGCUACAAUGGCACGUGGUUAAAACUACUACAUCACAUCAAGGCACGAGAGUCCCAGCUGGAAACACAGACUCGAGUCCGUUCCCAGGCCAGGAAUAUUCGUUUGAUUACUGUUACAACAUGACUGUCAGCUUCAAAACUGUCGCGUUCACGUGUCAGAUUACGGAAGUUCUCGUGUAGCUGUGGAACUAAAACAUCUACAUUUUCAUCUUCUAAAAAAAAUGAAUGAGGCGAAAUAUUUCGAUUUGAAACGUGUUUUGCUUUAGCUUAUUUUCUGCAAGGUGUCAGCACGCUCCAGUAGCUCAUGCUCUGAGAUCAGUGCGUCUGAUUGAUUGUGUGGAGGCCAGCUGUAGCCUAAUAUAACUGCUGUUACCGCCGCUCUAAUGUCGCGAUCACACGCCCAGCAGACGCCGACUGUUUAUCAAAGCCAAAAGCGUCAGAAUUCGCCUACUAGACACGUGAUUAAACUGGUUUCACUGUGGCAAUGGAAUGCAAUGAGAACGAUCAGUGCUUCAGCAGUCUGCAUGGGACACUGAGACAGGAAGUUGAUGGCGUCCUGGACACAUCUGUAGUGUCUGUCACAAACUGCUGGCCGAGGGAUUCUGGGAGCGCUGCUGACAUCUCAAGAAAUCAAGCAUCAUCUCCAGGACUUCAGCUUUCUCCUGUCUGGAGUCGGGCUGCUGCUUUAGGAACUCUUGACCCAGAAGAGACUUGAGCUUCUCAAUGCUGCUGUUGAUUCGUUCUCUGCGGAUCUUCUCCACUAUUGGCUUUCUCAGCUGAGGAAACAUUAGGAACAUGCAUUUAGAAACUAUCAUUUCUGCUGGUUAUAUUUCAUAACGAUCUAUGAUUUAUGUAGUCAGAUAUGAGACGUUGAAUAUUUACCUUGUUUGAGAGUGGAAGUUGUUCUCUGCUGAUGAUUGAUCCAGUGAUUGUAGGUGCCAUGGCUGUGUGUCUUGUGUUCGGUUCUCUGUUAGGAUCAGAUCAGAUCUGUGCUCGGCUCUCUCUCCUCUCCCUCUAUUUAUACUCCCAAAUCUCCAUAUGAAUGUGUGAGUCUGGAGUUUGCUGGAGGUUCUCACAGUCUGCAGCGAAUGGGAGCGUUCCAAGAGCUCAAAGGAGCAGAGGGCUGCCACAUGCUCAGUGAGGCAUUUAUUGCACAGGAAACAAUGAGCUGGCAGAUGGAGAGAGAUGUAUUACAGGGAGGAAGAUUGUGAGAAAGUGUAGACCCCGUUUGAAGUCGCAUCGGAUGCUGAGAAACCAGUAAAAGAACGUGCACCAUUUUUAAUAAAUGUAUGUUUGAGAUCAGUAGAGAAAAUUCUUGAUUUGCUUCUUCAUUUAAACAGAUUAUAUCUGAUUAUAGUAAUAUUAUAUAUUUUAUCUGUUUUUUAAUUGAUCAGUGUCUUAUUUGAUGAGUGACCUAUAAGAAUCAAAGAAUAUUUUUU